rnacentral:lncRNA from 1 species
UUAUUUUAUGGUUCUUACACCAUUUGUCUUUUAUUUUAUGGUUCUUACAUUGUUUAUCAGUUUAUUUUACGGUUCUUACACCGUUUGUCUUUCUAUUUUAUGGUUGUUACAUCGCUUGUCAUUUUAUUUUAUGGUUCAUACAUCGUUUGUCUUUUUUAUUUUAUGAUUCGUACACAAUUUGUAUUUUUCUUUUACGGUUCUUACACAGUUUGUUUUCUUAUUUUACGGUUCUUACAUUGUUUGUCUUUUAUUUUACGGUUCUGACACUGUUUUUCUUUUUUUUUUACGGUUCUUACACUGUUGGUCUUUUUUUUUGCGGUUUUUAC